rnacentral:lncRNA from 1 species
CCCUAACCCUAACCUAUUUUACAUGAAAACCCUAACCCUAACAUAUUUUAAUUAAAAUCCCUAACCUAACUUAAUUUAAUUAAAACCCCUAACCCUAACCUAUUUUACAUGAAAACCCUAACCCUAACAUAUUUUAAUUUAAAUCCCUAACCUAACUUAAUUAAAAACCCUAACCUAACUUAAUUUAAUUAAAAACCCUAACCCUAACCUAUUUUACAUGAAAACCCUAACCCUAACAUAUUUUAAUUUAAAUCCCUAACCUAACUUAAUUAAAAACCCUAACCUAACUUAAUUUAAUUAAAAACCCUAACCCUAACCUAUUUUACAU